UUAAGAUACUAAGAGCAUACGGUGGAUGCCUUGGCGAUAUCUGCCGACGAAGGACGCGACAAGCUGCGAAAAGCUGCGGAGAGGCGCAAAUAGCCAUAGACCCGCAGAUAUCCGAAUGGAGCAAUCCGGCUGCGGUCAUGCGCAGUCAUCCAUGUCAUAGAACAUGAGAAGGGAACCCGGCGAACUGAAACAUCUAAGUAGCCGGAGGAAAAGAAAUCAACCGAGAUACCCCAAGUAGCGGCGAGCGAACGGGGCAGACGCCCAAACCGGGGAAGGAAACUUCCUCGGGGUUGCGGACUGUCAACAAUCAAUGAAAGUUAGCUGAACCUGUUGGGAAACAGGGCCGAAGACAGUGAGAGCCUGGUAAGCGAAAACAGACAUUGAGGGACAGGAUCCAGAGUACCGCGGGACACGAGAAACCCCGUGGGAAACAGGGGGGACCACCCUCCAAGGCAAAACACAGAUAUCGACCGAUAGCGCAUAGUACCAUGAGGGAAAGGUGAAAAGCACCCCGGGAGGGGAGUGAAAGAGUACCUGAAACCGUAUGUUUACAAACAGUCGGAGACCGUAUAUAUACCAGGUCGACGGCGUGCCUAUUGAAGAAUGAGCCAGCGAGUUACGAGGUCCGGCGAGGUUAAGCAGGAAAUGCGGAGCCGAAGCGAAAGCGAGUCUGAACAGGGCGCGAGUCGGAUUGCGUAGACCCGAAACCACAGUGAUCUACCCAUGUCCAGGUUGAAGCACAGGUAAAAAUGUGUGGAGGACCGAACCUAUAUCUGUUGAAAAAGGUUAGGAUGAGGUGUGGGUAGGGGUGAAAUUCCAAUCGAACGUGGAGAUAGCUGGUUCUCCCCGAAAUAGCUUUAGGGCUAGCCUCAGGGUGAGAUUGCAGGCGGUAGAGCACUGAUCAGGAGCGGGACCUGCCCGGUUACCAAACCCAGUCAAACUACGAAUGGCUGCAAUUAUACCUGGGAGUCAGACUACGAGCGAUAAGACCCGUGGUCAAAAGGGAAACAGCCCAGAUCAUCAGCUAAGGUCCCAAAUGCCGUGCUAAGUGGCGAAGGAUGUGGCAUUUCAUAAACAACCAGGAUGUUGGCUCAGAAGCAGCCACCAUUUAAAGAGUGCGUAAUAGCUCACUGGUCGAGAGACGCUGCGCCGAAAAUGUCCGGGGCUCAAGCACGGAACCGAAGCUAUGGCAUUGCUUAAGCAAUGGGUAGGGGAGCGUUCUUAUUGGGGAGAAGCGGUACCGUAAGGAGCCGUGGACCGAUAAGAAGUGAGAAUGCUGGCAUGAGUAUCGAAAAGAAAGGUGAGAAUCCUUUCCACCGAAAGCCCGAGGGUUCCUGAGCAACGAUCGUCGUCUCAGGGUAAGUCGGGACCUAAGCCGAGGCGGAGAAGCGUAGGCGAUGGACAACAGGUUGAAAUUCCUGUACUGCUUUAUGUCGUUUGAGUGAUGGAGUGACGCAGGAGGGCACAUGAUCGCGCGAUUGGAAGAGCGCGUCCAAGCGAGUAGUUUGGAUAUGAGUCAAAUGCCAUAUUCUGAAAGACGAGACGUGACGGGGAAUUAGAGGAAACUCUGAGGAACUCAUGGAUCCCACACUGCCGAGAAAAGCUUCUAGCGAGACAUAAGGCACCCGUACCGUAAACCGACACAGGUAGGCGGGGAGAGAAUCCUAAGGUGCGCGGGAAAACCCUCGUUAAGGAACUCGGCAAAUUGCAUCCGUAACUUCGGGAAAAGGAUGGCCCUGAGUAGGCGAAGGACAGAAACGUCCGGAACCGGAAAGGGCGGCAGAAAAGAGGCCCAAGCAACUGUUUACCAAAAACACAGGUGCCUGCGAAAGCGAAAGCUGAAGUAUAGGUGCUGACGCCUGCCCGGUGCUGGAAGGUUAAGGAGAGAUGUCAGCUUAGGCGAAGCAUUGAACUGAAGCCCCAGUGAACGGCGGCCGUAACUAUAACGGUCCUAAGGUAGCGAAAUUCCUUGUCGGGCAAGUUCCGACCCGCAUGAAAGGCGUAAUGAUUUGGGCACUGUCUCAACGAGGGGCCCGGUGAAAUUGAAAUACCUGUGAAGAUGCAGGUUACCCGCGACUGGACAGAAAGACCCCAUGGAGCUUUACUGCAGCUUGAGACGGAAUUCCGGUGACAGAUGCACAGGAUAGGUGGGAGGCUUUGAAGGCAGGACUUUGGUUUUGCUGGAGCCGAUGUUGGGAUACCACCCUUCUGCUGCUGGAAUUCUAACGCGAAGAGUAACGACCUUGCGGACAAUCUCAGGCAGGCGGUUUGACUGGGGCGGUCGC
rnacentral:rRNA from 1 species